UCCCUGGUGGCCAACUGGUUAGGACCUGGCACUUUCACUGCCGAGGCCCAGGUUUUAAUCCCUGGUCUGGGAA
rnacentral:tRNA from 1 species